AGCGGUGAAAUCUGGACGCUUAACGUCCAAACUGCCGUUGAAACUGGGAGUCUUGAGUAUGGAUGAAGUAGGCGGAAUUCGUUGUGUAGCGGUGACAUGCAUAGAUAUAACGAGGAACUCCGAUUGCGUAGGCAGCUUACUAAGCCAUAACUGACGCUCAUGCACGAAAGCGUGGGGAUCAAACAGGAUUAGAUACCCUGGUAGUCCACGCCGUAAACGAUGAUUACUAGUUGUAUGCGAUAUGAUAGUAUGUGACUAAGCGAAAGCGAUAAGUAAUCCACCUGGGGAGUACGCCGGCAACGGUGAAACUCAAAGGAAUUGACGGGGGCCCGCACAAGCGGAGGAACAUGUGGUUUAAUUCGAUGAUACGCGAGGAACCUUACCCGGGCUUGAAAUGUACAUGAAUAACGUUGAAAGAUGUUAGCCAGCAAUGGCAUGUAUGUAGGUGCUGCAUGGUUGUCGUCAGCUCGUGCCGUGAGGUGUCGGCUUAAGUGCCAUAACGAGCGCAACCCACAUUAUUAGUUACUAACAGGUUAAGCUGAGGACUCUAAUAAGACUGCCGGCGUAAGCUGCGAGGAAGGUGUGGAUGACGUCAAAUCAGCACGGCCCUUACGUCCGGGGCGACACACGUGUUACAAUGGGUGGUACAAAGGGCAGCUACUUGGUGACAAGAUGCUAAUCUCCAAAGCCACUCCCAGUUCGGAUCGGAGUCUGCAACUCGACUCCGUGAAGCUGGAUUCGCUAGUAAUCGCGCAUCAGCCAUGGCGCGGUGAAUACGUUCCCGGGCCUUGUACACACCGCCCGUCAAGCCAUGGGAGCUGGGGGUAUCUGAAGUACGUAACCGCAAGGAGCGUCCUAGGGUAAAACCGGUGACUGGGGCUAAGUCGUAACAAGGUAACC
rnacentral:rRNA from 1 species